GAUGAAGAACGUAGCGAAACGCGAUAAGUAAUGUGAAUUGCAGAAUUUAGUGAAUCAUCGAAUCUUUGAACGCACAUUGCGCCCGCUAGUAUUCUGGCGGGCAUGCCUGUCUGAGCGUCAUUUCAACCCUCGCCCCCGGCUUUUGCUGGGAGCGGUGUUGGGGAUCGGCCGCCCGUCACUGGGAGGCCGGCCCCGAAAUAGAGUGGCGACCACGCCGUGUGCUCCUCUGCGUAGUAGUAAAUCACCUCGCAGGCGGACAGCGGUGCGGCCUGCCGUAAAACCCCCAACUCUUUCUGGUUGACCUCAGAUCAGGUAGGAAUACCCGCUGAACUUAAGCAUAUCAAUAAGCGGAGGA
rnacentral:misc_RNA from 1 species